rnacentral:rRNA from 1 species
GACGAACGCUGGCGGCGUGCUUAACACAUGCAAGUCGAAUGGAAAGGCCCUGCUUUUGUGGGGUGCUCGAGUGGCGAACGGGUGAGUAACACGUGAGUAACCUGCCCUUGACUUUGGGAUAACUUCAGGAAACUGGGGCUAAUACCGGAUAGGAGCUCCUGCUGCAUGGUGGGGGUUGGAAAGUUUCGGCGGUUGGGGAUGGACUCGCGGCUUAUCAGCUUGUUGGUGGGGUAGUGGCUUACCAAGGCUUUGACGGGUAGCCGGCCUGAGAGGGUGACCGGCCACAUUGGGACUGAGAUACGGCUCAGACUCCUACGGGAGGCAGCAGUGGGGAAUAUUGCACAAUGGGCGGAAGCCUGAUGCAGCAACGCCGCGUGCGGGAUGACGGCCUUCGGGUUGUAAACCGCUUUCGCCUGUGACGAAGCGUGAGUGACGGUAAUGGGUAAAGAAGCACCGGCUAACUACGUG